GGACGAACGCUGGCGGCGUGCUUAACACAUGCAAGUCGAGCGGUAAGGCCCUUUCGGGGGUACACGAGCGGCGAACGGGUGAGUAACACGUGGGUGACCUGCCCUCAGCUCUGGGAUAAGCCUGGGAAACCGGGUCUAAUACUGGAUAUGACUCCAUGACGCAUGUUGUGGGGUGGAAAGCCUUGUGCGGCUGAGGAUGGGCCCGCGGCCUAUCAGCUUGUUGGUGGGGUGANGGCCUACCGAGGCGACGACGGGUAGCCGGCCUGAGAGGGCGACCGGCCACACUGGGACUGAGACACGGCCCAGACUCCUACGGGAGGCAGCAGUGGGGAAUCUUGCGCAAUGGGCGAAAGCCUGACGCAGCGACGCCGCGUGAGGGAUGACGGCCUCGG
rnacentral:rRNA from 1 species